UUACUUUUUACAAUCUGAGUAAAAUGCAGCAACAUAUUCUUAAAAUAUUAAUAGCAAUUGUGAUUUUUAUACUAAAAAUAAUUAUAAAUAAUAGCUCAAAACCUCCUCCACCACCGUGGUUUAUGCAUGGCGAAUAUCUUUAUUAUAUCAAUACCGAGCAACAAUUCACCUCCAAUUAUACACAAAAAGAGUGCAUAAAGCAAAAAAUGGUGUAUUCUAUAACCCAAACAAAUGCAGUAGAAUUGUUGCCACAUUUAAAGCUUGUGUAUGGUGAUUUCCCUGCCUUGUGGACCUAUAACAAUGAAAUUUUUAAUAAAAUCCUAAAUACUCACAUUAAAAUGCGCUCAUGUUUUCAAUUGAGCGCCACAUCUGACAAAUACCAACCGCAUAAUUGUUCUGAAAAAUCAGGUUUUAUUUGCAAAAUCCGAAUGAAAUCUGCCACUUUAUUAUAUGAAAAUUCGGCUGUACGAGUUUUUAAAAAUGAUAUAGAACAAUUCUGUGAUCCAAAUGCAAAUAUUUCUAAUGUUUUGUAUUCUUGUA